rnacentral:rRNA from 1 species
CAGUCGCCGCGGUAAUACGUAGGUGGCAAGCGUUGUCCGGAAUUAUUGGUCGUAAAGGGCUCGCGGGCGGUUUCUUAGGUCUGAUGUGAAAGCCCCCGGCUCAACCGGGGAGGGUCAUUGGAAACUGGGAAACUUGAGUGCAGAAGAGGAGAGUGGAAUUCCACGUGUAGCGGUGAAAUGCGUAGAGAUGUGGAGGAACACCAGUGGCGAAGGCGACUCUCUGGUCUGUAACUGACGCUGAGGAGCGAAAGCGUGGGGAGCGAACAGGAUUAGAUACCCGCGUAGUCCCUGUCUCUUAUAC